GCAAACUUGGUCAUUUAGAGGAAGUAAAAGUCGUAACAAGGUUUCCGUAGGUGAACCUGCGGAAGGAUCAUUAAAAGAGAAGAGUGCUCGACGAGCCUCGCCCUCUUAAACCAUUGCGUACCUAAUCUUUGUCAUCUUCGCGGGCCGGGCGCUUCGGUGUCCUCCGCGAAGAAACACAAAAUCAAUUGGUUUGAUCAGUUUCUGAUUUUACGAGAUAAGAAAACAACUUUCAACAAUGGAUCUCUUGGCUCCGGCAUCGAUGAAGAACGCAGC
rnacentral:misc_RNA from 1 species